rnacentral:misc_RNA from 1 species
GAUGAAGAACGUAGCGAAAUGCGAUACUUGGUGUGAAUUGCAGAAUCCCGUGAACCAUCGAGUCUUUGAACGCAAGUUGCGCCUCAAGCCAUUAGGUUGAGGGCACGUCUGCCUGGGCGUCACAUAUCGUUGCCUGAUGCCAGUUUCCUCGUGAUGGGUGACUGUGCAGGGCGAAUGAUGGCUUCCCGUGAGCAUUGUUGCCUCAUGGUUGGUUGAAAAUUGAGUCCUUGGUAGGGAGCGCCGUGAUAGAUGGUGGUUGAGUGACGAACGAGACCCAAUCAUGUGAGACCCCUACCGAAUUUGGCCUUCAUGACCCACAUGCGUCUUUGGAACGCUCAUGACGAGACCUCAGGUCAGGCGGGGCUACCCGCUGAGUUUAAGCAUAUCAAUACGCGGAGGA